AGAUGCCAUCACCAGCUGCAUAUGCUAAGCUAGCCAAGGUCACAUUAACACAGGUGAUCUUAUUCAACAACAAACGUGCAGGAGAAGUGUCAAAAAUGACUUUUUUAGUCAUGAUCAAGCAAAAGUGCAUGAUGAUGUUGCUCAGGGGCUUACGGAAUUUGAACACAAAGUCUGUCAGUAUUUCAGCAGAGUUGAGUUGAGGGGCAAAUGCAAAAUAACUGUUCUUCUAACCCCAGCAAUGGUACAUGCACUCACAAUGCUUUUUGAACAAAGGGAAAACUAUCAUGUACCUAGAGAAAAUACCAUUGUCGGGAUUCCCAAAUGUUUAAGUCAUUACAGGGGACAAGACUACUUUCGAAGUUUUGCUGGUGACUGUGGUGCAAAAAAUCCUGAACACCUUAGAUCAACUCAACUGAGGAAACAAGUGGCUAUGGUUUCACAGGUCCUGAAUUUAAAGAACAAUGAACUCGACCACCAUGCAACCUGGUAGGAUAAGCGGUUUGGAAAAUGGAUGGAUGAACUUUACCAACUGGCUGAUUUCAUGGAUCAUGAUAUCGGGAUUCAUAGAGAGUACUACUGCCUGCCAGAGUCUACCUUGCAAGUGGCAAAAAUUUCAAAACUGUUAAUUGCUAUGGAAAGAGGGCAGCUACCACAACUCAAGGGCAAAUUCAUGGAUGAAAUUUCAGAUGAAAUGAAUGUAAACCCCAAAACUACUAAUACCAAGGAAUCUUCACUAGAAGAUCGUGCCAAUGAAACCACAAAGAGAAGGUGCAAAGUGGUUUGAAGGCCAUGGACAAAUAAGGAAGUAGUUGCUGUAAUGAGGCAUUUCAAACCCCACAUAUUGAAGGGUCAUUUGGAUUCAAAAUUGGAGCGUUGGAGUGGAGUGGAGAAAUGCAAGAAAGUAGAAUAUCCCGUUUUAGAAGGACGAAUUGCCCAAAACAUCCAUGACUUUGUUAAAAAUAGAGGAAUGCAAUUUGCAAAAAAACAAUGAAUUUUAACGUGGCUUGUAGUAAUAGCAAUUUUUUCAAAUUGCAAGUUCUAAUCAGAUUUUUUUAAAUCAUUUGUG